GAGCUCUAUCAAUUGGCGUGUGUUGCAUUCUGCUUGCUAGUAGUCUGGGGUAAAUUAUAUCUGNUGCUUCUUGGGACCACANCUCUUAGUCUGGUAACAACUCCUCUACUUUUCAAGCUUAUUCCUGUCGUAGUGCAUCUUGGUGUGCUAUUGAAGUGGUUCUCUCCUGACAAUUUAGUGGAGACCCUAACAAGACGGACUGAUAAAAGAUUGAAAGAAACCUGACAAGACGGACAAAUGAAGGUAUGUGCAACAAGAAAAUUCACAUAUACAAAAU